rnacentral:tRNA from 4 species
CGGGGCGUAGCUCAGGUGGUAGAGCGUCGGCUUUGGGAGCCGAAGGUCGCCGGUUCAAGUCCGGCCGCCCCGA